CUACUCAGGAGGCUGAGGCAGGAGAACCACUUGAACCCAGGAGGCAGAGGUUGCAGUGAGCCAAGAUCGUGCCACUGUACUCCAGCCUGGGCAACAAGAGCGAAACUCCAUCUCAAAAAAGAAAAAAGAAACUCCGUCUCAAAAAGAAGGUGGUUCACACACACACACACACACCCCCAAGAAAGCUCAGGGCUGGAAGGCAGCCAACCUGGCUGUGACCCUCAUCCUGCACACGUGAGCUUGGUGACCAGUAGCUGAUUCUUUAACUCUCUAAGCUUUGGAGUCUGGAUGUGAGGUUUAGAAUUCAUGACAAGAAGCUGGAAGGAUGCCGCCAGUCUGACUCCUGGACUGGUUCUCUUGACAUCUUUGCAAAAGCUGCUGAAAUGUUCUGGUUUCAUUUCAUUCUUUUCUUUGCCAUGAUCUCUUAGAUUUGUUCGUGGCAAUUCUCAUAAGAGUGAAGAAAAUGUUUAAAAUGGCUGUUGGGCUCCCUUUUGUGACACCUUGUGGGGAAGGUGCCCAGGUAUGUAUAGGUGCUGAGCGCACGGCCAGCAUGGUGUCUGUGGCCGGGCCUCCCUCCUGGACAGUGCGGCCACAGCCCCUGAAAGG
rnacentral:lncRNA from 1 species